GAAUGUACUACUACUAGUUCUGGUAGGAUGAGGAAGAAGCAUUCAUAGUGACGAAGAUGAACAAGUAAGAAUAAUUGAAAUUAGUGGUGGUUGGUAUGGAAUUGAAAUUAGUUACAUCAACAAUAACAUCAUCAUCAUCAUCAUCACGUUCGUUGUUAGGAGCAGCAGCACUAUGUGAUUGCAGCAAUGCUUCUUCUUGUUCUUAUGAUAACAGAAGAUACAGGGGGGGGCACAAUAUCAUAAUAGUAGCUUCCAAAAGCAAGAAGAAGAAGCAGCAUCAACAGCAGGGUUCUUCUUCUCAUUCUCCUCCUCCUCCUCCUCCUCCCAGAAUCACAUCUAAUGCCAAGGAAAACCUUCGCGCCCUCAAGAUGUGGAAGGAGCACCAACAACGAAAAUCUAGCACUCCUAGACCUUCCACCAGUUACCGUAAAAAGAAGGCCGAGAAAGAGGAUACUAUUACUAUCCACCACGAUGACGAUGACGACAACACUGAUUACUAUGGUGAUCCUACCACUGCUCUCUACAAUACAAACCAGUUGGGUAUAAUAGACAAUGCUGUCCCUGUUAUGCUUGUUGAUGGUUAUAAUGUUUGUGGAUAUUGGAUCAAACUCAAGAAACAUUUUAUGAAUGGAAAUCUUGAGAUUGCUCGCCAAAAGCUAAUUCACGAGCUUCUGACCUUUAGUAAGCUCAGAGACCUCAAAGUCGUUGUUGUAUUUGAUGCCCAUAAGUCUGGAUUCCCCGAUCACAAGGAAUGUGCCUUCGGCAUCGACAUUGUUUUCUCAAGUGCAACAUCUGCUGAUACAUGGAUUGAAAAAGAGGUUUCAGCUUUAAAGGAGGACGGUUGCCCCGAUGUCUGGGUUGUCACUUCUGAUCACGAUCAACAGCAUGCAGCAAAUGGAGCAGGAGCCUAUGUUUGGAGUUGCAAGACACUUAUAACUGAGUAGAUAAAGGAAGCACAAAAGGAGGCUGCAGACACGCUUCAAGAGGAAAGGUAUGCCAUGUCUGGAUUAAGUUUGAAAAACAUGUAUUUUCCAUCAGAAAUAUUCGUUUUGUUAUAUAUCUUUUAUGAUUGUUCACUGUGUGGUUUAUGACUUGUGUAUUAAUUGCCUUUGCAAAUUGAGAUAUAAUAUUCUUUAAUGCACUGCUAAUUUCAAUUUAAUUUUGUGAUUUUUUGUUACCGUCACAAAUUUCCUUAAUGAAUGUAUCCAAUUAUUAUCUGGGUUUAUUUAUAUGCUUGCAUUUUAAUUCAAGAGCAAAGUUAUGCCACAAUGAAAAUGAAAAUAGAACAUUUGUUAGAGCAAAGUACCUCCUAUUCAGGGAGAAUAUAAUCGAUUUAGUGCCAUAUCUAUUUAUUUUUAAUAGUCGCAAUAUAAUUAGUUUCCUUAGUUUCUAAUAUUAAAUUGUAAAACUUGUAUGUGUGUGUGCUGAGGGACUCCUCGAGCAAUUUAGCAAAUAUUUGCCCAUCUCAAAAUGGUACUGGAGCCAUCCACCUGGGCCUAGUUUAAUUAAGCAAUAGAAACUAAAAACCAUGUCUCUCGUGGUUGCGAUCAAGUUAGGGCUUCAAACGAACUGGCUCCAAUUAAACAACUGUUGGAACAUGCCUAGCUAAAAACUGUUGAUGAAGUAAACUUAGAAGAACCGUUGCCAGAAUCAGUCACUCUCUGCCUCGUGCCCUCGUAAUUUCAACGUGGGCUUUGUUCAUCACGCUAUUGGUCUUGUUCCGACCACCUAAUUCUUUUCACCUCUUUUGGGGUUCGGCAGCCAAUUUAGUGUUGAUUUAGGUUGUGGGUCUUCGAUCCAGUGAUCCCUAGGAUUCUACCUCUUGUCUUGAGCAUAUGUUCUGCUGAAAGUUGAUCACAAUCUCAAUCCUCCACCACCACAGUUACCCAUACCAUCAACCCCACUAUUUGUAUAUACACAUAUUGGUAAUAAUCUAACUCCUUGGAUUCUUGAUUUGAUACUACUGGCUUCAACCAUUAAUCUGGUGACUGAUCACUUAUGUCUUUUUACUCUACAUGAUUUGUCUACAUUUUGUGACACUUUCUGAUGGCUCUAAAAUUACUUGUAUAAAGCAUUGUUUUUACUUCUCCAACGACAUUUAUGUCAUUAAUAUUUGUAUAUUUGUUCCCAUUUGUCCUUUCAAUUAAGAUUUUAAGAAGUGACAGUGCAAAGGAAUAUUUCCUCCAAAGAAUUUUAAUCAUUUAUGUCUUCUCAUGACAUCUUAUAUAAAUCCACCAUGAUUUCAUACAUCUCAACAAAAUAGGGUAGUUUUUUUUUUUUUUUAAAGAAAACAAAAUAGUGUUGUUGAAGGAGAAAAUCGCCAUAUUAAUGUGAUUGCUCGUACUUUUUUGUUUUAUUUAAAGUGGUGUUAUGUAAACAGCUUGCUUUUUAAUCAGUUGCGUGACUGCUUCCUUUUGUCAGCUAAUAAUUAUGAAGUUCCUCAUGAAGUGUUGGUCCCUAAAUAUCGUUUAUAUCAUAUUUCAACUUGUUUUUGGUUGUGCAUGUUCUGCUUGUAAUCUUUCUCUUGAUCGGUAUAGUUUGGUUAUUCUAGGAUGCAAAAGGAUAUCAUUGUCAUUUGUUUGUCACUAAUCAUCAAUAGAAUUCUGUAGAUGACAUCUUCUUUGAAGAGGCACCCUAUUUCACCUCUUUAGACUACUGUUGAACCUAGUGUACUUUUUUAGGCCUUUCCUACUCCUAUUUUUGUCCAUCUUUAUCUCCCUUGAAGGUCCCAUUAGAGGAUUCUAGAAAUGUCGAGACUCGAUCAUUUCCUUAGCAGGGACCUCUCACUACGCAUCAUUGUCAUUGAUGGACUGUCAUUCUUGAUUUCUAGCAUUUGAAGAAUCCAAUGAGAAUCACAAUGAGUCAUACUCGAUUCCAACUAUUUUCAUACUGUUGAUCUGUACAAUAUGAAUGAUAAGCUUUUUUAUGAUUAUCUAUCAAUUGCUCUUCGGAAAGAUACUUGGUCCACUAGAAACCCUUAUACAUUUUCAAGUUUUUAAGUUUUUACUGUUUACCUUUAUCCUAUUAUGUCAACUUUGUCUUUUGUCUUUCUUCCUUGGAAAUUUUGUGAGGCUCUCAUUUUAAAUUAAAGGCAAACCAUGAUGAGAUGAUUGCUCCUGAGCAUAACACCAUGCGGGACUUAGUUCCUCUUUCCCCAAAGAAAAAUAGUUGGAUGUUAACGUGUUACUAGUUCCUCUUUGCUGAAGAAAAUCUGUUGUUGGAUGCUAAUGUGUUUAUGGUAUGAAGGUUGAUUUAGAAGGCCAAAUAGAUCAUUUAAAGCCAGUUAGUUACAAAAAGGAUACUCUCAAACAUAUGGCGUUAAUUACAGCGAUACAUUUUCUUCGGUGUCCUAGAUGGUGUGACUUCAUUCAUGGUCUCUUGAAGAAGAUAAAUAUAUAUUGAGAAACCACCUAGGUUUGACACUUAAGGGGUUCAAGGUUUGGUAUGUAGUUUGUAGCUAUCUCUGUAUGGUUUGAAACAAUCUUAUUUGAGUUUUGUUUGUGAAACUUAGUAUUAUUGUGCAAUAAUUUGGUAUGACUGGGAGCAAAACUGAUUAUUUUAGUUUUUUAUAUUGACAUUCUUCGAUCCGAAGUUGAUUUGUUUUCUUAUUCAUAUUGUUAUGUACAGAACUUUUUCUUUUCAAGGUAAAUUGUUGAAGCACAAUCUUGAUGCAGAAGUAGUGGCUGCUCUGAAGAACCUGAGGCAAAAAUUAUCUGAAGCGGAGGCUCUGAAGAACCUGAGGCAAAAGUUAUCUAAAAAUGAGUUGAAGUAGAAUAUCAAAUUAAAAUUCUGAUGAAAAGAAUGCUACUAAGCAGAGGAGCAAAACUACUGGUUUCACAUUAAUGAAGUAUUCAGUGUUUUUAUUUCCAAGAAAUGAGUUUAAAAGAGUUUCAUUGUUUUACUAGACAUUGUGAAUAGCCAGUCAUUUAACAUCAAUGUACCCUUCAAUAUCCAUACUUUCCAUUUGAUAGCUAACAAUCCAGCGUUGACAAUGAAGGCCAUACAGGCCCAAAAAUGACAAGCAAUCCAUGUAGAGAGGCCUUUCAUAUAUACACAUGCUUUAUAACUAACUAACGAUAGUGUAAAGAUUGUGUGUAUUUAUUUAUGAUUCACCCGCCACAUCAUUGUAUUAACCUUGUGAUUUUAUGUGUAAUGAUCAAAUGAAUUGAUUAUGGCCACUUGUACGUUAUUAAGUACCAAGUAUACUAUGAAGUCAAAAACAAGUUAAUGACUUGAAGAUGAAUUGUCAA